AUGGGAAACAUACUGACCUGUUGUGUGUGCCCCAGGGCCAGCCCUGGGUUGCACCAGCACCAGGGAUUGGUGUGUCACUGUGAGUCUGAGAUCUAUGAGGCAGCAGCUGGGGACCUGAUAGCAGGAGUGCCUGUGGCUGCUGCUGUAGAGCCUGGUGAGGUGACUUUUGUAGCUGGUGAGGGCCUCCACAUGCACCACAUCUGUGAACGGGAGAUGCCUGAAGAUAUACCUUUGGAGCCCAACCCUUCUGACCAUCCAAAGGCAAGCACAAUAUUCCUGAGAAAAUCUCAAACAGAUGUACAAGAAAAAAAGAAAAAGCAACUAUGCAAAGUAUCUACUGAGCAUUUUACUCAACAAUACAGUUCAUGUUCGACAAUAUUCCUUGAUGACAGCAUAGCCAGCCAGCCUCAUCUUACAAUGACACUAAAAUCGUGUGACCUUGGCACUAUAUUAUCAUAUCAAGCAAAGAGAGAUGCACAUAGAUCUUUGGGCAUAUUUGAUGAACAGUUACACCCACUUACAGUGCGAAAAGAGGUUUUGGAGGAAUAUUUUAAGUAUGAUCCUGAACACAAAUUGAUCUUCAGAUUUGUUCGUACUCUGUUUAAAGCCAUGAGGCUAACAGCUGAGUUUGCAAUCGUAAGUUUGAUUUACAUAGAAAGACUUGUAAGUUAUGCUGAUAUCGACAUUUGUCCAACUAACUGGAAGAGGAUUGUCUUGGGAGCCAUUCUUCUUGCCUCCAAGGUUUGGAGUGAUAUGGCUGUGUGGAAUGAGGACUACUGCAAGCUCUUUAAGAACAUUACAGUUGAAGAAAUGAAUGAGUUGGAAAGGCAAUUCUUGAAGCUAAUUAAUUAUAAUAACAGCAUUACUAACAGUGUUUAUAGCAGAUUCUACUUCGAUCUUCGCACCUUGGCACACAACAACGGCCUGUAUUCACCAGUUUAUCUUCUUGACAGAGAAAGAGCUUGGAAGCUGGAGGCUUUUUCAAGGAUGGAACAAGACAAAGUUUUCUACAGUGCUGCCAAGAAUGGGUCUCUGAGUGCAGAUGAUUUAAUUCAUCUUCAGCGUGCUAAGGCCAUCCUCUUCUGA
rnacentral:lncRNA from 1 species